ACUUGGAUAGCUUAAUUUGAAAGUUCAAUAUUGAAGAUAUUGAGAUGAUACAUUCUUCGAGUA
rnacentral:tRNA from 1 species